GACGAACGCUGGCGGCGUGCUUAACACAUGCAAGUCGAACGGAAAGGCCCCCACUAUUUUUGGUGGGGGUGCUCGAGUGGCGAACGGGUGAGUAACACGUGGGUGAUCUGCCCUGUACUUCGGGAUAAGCUUGGGAAACUGGGUCUAAUACCGGAUAGGACCAUGGUUUAGUGUCUCAUGGUGGAAAGAUGUUUUUUUGGUGCAGGAUGAGCUCGCGGCCUAUCAGCUUGUUGGUGGGGUAAUGGCCUACCAAGGCGUCGACGGGUAGCCGGCCUGAAAGGGUGGACGGCCACAUUGGGACUGAGAUACGGCCCAGACUCCUACGGGAGGCAGCAGUGGGGAAUAUUGCACAAUGGGCGCAAGCCUGAUGCAGCGACGCCGCGUGGGGGAUGACGGCCUUCGGGUUGUAAACUCCUUUCGUUAGGGACGAAGCCAUACUUUUUGGG
rnacentral:rRNA from 1 species